rnacentral:rRNA from 1 species
AGGGUGCGAGCGUUGUCCGGAAUUAUUGGGCGUAAAGAGCUCGUAGGCGGUGUGUCGCGUCGGCCGUGAAAACCUGUAGCUUAACUGUGGGCUUGCGGUCGAUACGGGCAUCACUGGAGUUCGGCAGGGGAGACUGGGAUUCCUGGUGUAGCGGUGAAAUGCGCAGAUAUCAGGAGGAACACCGGUGGCGAAGGCGGGUCUCUGGGCCGAUACUGACGCUGAGGAGCGAAAGCGUGGGGAGCGAACAGG